CCUGGUGGCUCAGCUGGUAAAGAAUCUGCCUACAAUGCAGGAAACCCAGGUUCGAUCCCUGGGUCAGGA
rnacentral:tRNA from 1 species